UACGUAGGGGGCAAGCGUUGUCCGGAUUUAUUGGGCGUAAAGAGCGUGUAGGCGGCUAGGUAGGUCCGUUGUGAAAACUCGAGGCUCAACCUCGAGACGCCGGUGGAAACCAUCUAGCUAGAGUCCGGAAGAGGAGAGUGGAAUUCCUGGUGUAGCGGUGAAAUGCGCAGAUAUCGGGAGGAACACCAAUGGCGAAGGCAGCUCGCUGGGACGGUACUGACGCUGAGGCGCGAAGGCCAGGGGAGCAAACGGG
rnacentral:rRNA from 1 species